UACGGAGGAUCCGAGCGUUAUCCGGAAUUACUGGGUGUAAAGGGAGCGUAGACGGUUAAGUAAGUCUGGAGUGAAAGGCCGGGGCCCAACCCCCGGACUGCUUUGGAAACUGUAUAGCUAGAGUGCAGGAGAGGUAAGUGGAAUUCCUAGUGUAGCGGUGAAAUGCGUAGAUAUUAGGAGGAACACCAGUGGCGAAGGCGGCCUGCUGGACGGAGACUGACGCUGAGGCUCGAAAGCGUGGGGAGCAAACAGG
rnacentral:rRNA from 1 species